rnacentral:rRNA from 1 species
CCUACGGGCGGCAGCAGUGGGGAAUAUUGCACAAUGGGCGCAAGCCUGAUGCAGCCAUGCCGCGUGUGUGAAGAAGGCCUUCGGGUUGUAAAGCACUUUCAGCGGGGAGGAAGGCGUUAAGGUUAAUAACCUUGGCGAUUGACGUUACCCGCAGAAGAAGCACCGGCUAACUCCGUGCCAGCAGCCGCGGUAAUACGGAGGGUGCAAGCGUUAAUCGGAAUUACUGGGCGUAAAGCGCACGCAGGCGGUCUGUCAAGUCGGAUGUGAAAUCCCCGGGCUCAACCUGGGAACUGCAUUCGAAACAGGCAGGCUAGAGUCUUGUAGAGGGGGGUAGAAUUCUAGGUGUAGCGGUGAAAUGCGUAGAGAUCUGGAGGAAUACCGGUGGCGAAGGCGGCCCCCUGGACAAAGACUGACGCUCAGGUGCGAAAGCGUGGGGAGCAAACAGGAUUAGAUACCCGGGUAGUC